rnacentral:piRNA from 1 species
UAACUGGUUUUAGAGAAGCCCAGAUGGU